AUUGAACGCUGGCGGCAGGCCUAACACAUGCAAGUCGAGCGGAGCGGCGGACGGGUGCGUAAUUCCUAGGAAUCUGCCUGGUAGUGGGGGAUAACGUCCUGACACGGGCGCUCAUACCGCAUACUAUCAGAUGAGCCUAGGUCGGCUUAGCUAGUUGGUGGGGUAAAGGCAUACCAAGGCGACGAUCCGUACCUGGUCUGAGAGGAUGAUCAGUCACACUGGAACUUAGACAAGGGCCAGAAUCCUACGGGAGGCAGCAGUGGGGAAUAUGUGACAAGGGGCGAAAUCCUGAUCCAGCCAUGCCGCGUGUGUGAAGAAGGUCUUCGGAUUGUAAAGCACUUUAAGUUGGGAGGCGUUACCAACAGAAUAAGCACCGGCUAACUUCGUGCCAGCAGCCGCGGUAAUAC
rnacentral:rRNA from 1 species